rnacentral:misc_RNA from 1 species
GCUUAGAUAAAAAAAUCAACAAAUCAACAAGAAUAAUAACAAUGAUUCAACAUUUACAGAUUUCAAUAUAAAUCACAGCAAACUAACAAAACUUACAUGAAAAAUUACACAUUUUAGUAUCUCAUGUUAUAGAUUUCUAAAAGAAAACUAACAAGGGGCCGCAAUUAAAAUUUCCCAUAAGCACAUCAAUAUUUCCUAGAAGCAAAGAAACAAAAAUAAAAACAAUUCACAAUUGAUUGAGCCUCAUCUACCAUGAUACAAACUCAUCCGUAGAAGUCGCAUCCACCAUAUUGCAUGUCUUGUACAAGGACAACGCUAGCCCAUUGCCUCCUCCGCCUGAUGAUGAAAAAAGAUGGGUAGAUGGAAUGGAACAGAAGCACACAAAAGUUGAUAAAUGAGGUAGAAGGAGGUGAAAUGGGAAUUUGAUUUUCAAUUUUGAUGAGGAAGAAGAGAGAUAGAGAGAUGACAGUUUGGAAAUAAAGUUGAAGAAGAAGAGAAGAAACGAAAUGGGGAAGGGGGAGGCAUGAGAGAGCAAUGAGGG